rnacentral:rRNA from 1 species
UACCAGACUCCUACGGGAGGCAGCAGUGAGGAAUAUUGGUCAAUGGGCGGGAGCCUGAACCAGCCAAGUCGCGUGAGGGACGACGGUCCUAUGGAUUGUAAACCUCUUUUGUCGGGGAACAAAGGCGCCCACGGGUGGGCGGAUGAGUGUACCCGAAGAAAAAGCAUCGGCUAACUCCGUGCCAGCAGCCGCGGUAAUACGUAGGGGGCGAGCGUUAUCCGGAUUUACUGGGUGUAAAGGGAGCGUAGACGGCUGGUCAAGUCUGAAGUGAAAGCCCGGGGCUUAACCCCGGAACGGCUUUGGAAACUGAGCAGCUAGAGUGCUGGAGAGGUAAGCGGAAUUCCUAGUGUAGCGGUGAAAUGCGUAGAUAUUAGGAGGAACACCAGUGGCGAAGGCGGCUUACUGGACAGUAACUGACGUUGAGGCUCGAAAGCGUGGGGAGCAAACAGGAUUAGAUACCCCCGUAC